AUGAUUGCUUGCUUUGUCGCAUCACCCAUGUUCCAUUCUUCCUUGCUUUCUUGGGUUGAUGACGUAUAUGUUCAUGCCUCUCACAUGAUAUAUUUUGUUCAUUGUCGCUUGCCUCCAAUUGUUGCAUCUAUGCUUAUUGAUCGUGGAGACUUGGACACUUUACUUGUGAUGCAUGCUUGCUUGAUUGAGCCUAUUGUAUUUGGUUGUCCUCGCAUCAUCAUAUGCCUCCAUACUAUGAAAUGCUCCCUUGUACUUUCUUAUGAUGAGCAUGAUGCAUCCACUUGUUGGGUAUUUUACUACACGAAUGAUAGGUUUUGCAUCUCCGCUAACCUCAUUUGUUUUUCUGAGUGUUUGUCAUGUUAUUUCAUGUUGAAGGAUUCACAAGGCGAUACCGUCACGAGACAAUUUGGUCAUGUGAAGGCAUACACGAUGUGCAACACCAACAUUUGCGAGAAUCUCCUAAAGCUGAACUCCUUCCCUUUGAGCCAUCCUCAAAUAUGCAUAUUGGAUGGGUCACUCUUUCAUUGUUGUUUCCUUCUUCUUGUCUACAUGUUACAUCUAUGGGAUGGAGGACCGACAUUGGAGAUGGAACCCAUGAACCUUCAAGUUGAGGAGCGCUCGGACUUAUUGGAUGCACCUUCGAACCUCCACUCAUGUCACGACAUCGAGCAUUGGUAUACCAACACCUCCAUAUUUGUUGAUUGCGUUCACACAUGUCAUGCUCGAUGGACAUAUCAUACACAUGACAAAUUUGCAUCUUAUGCAUGGAUUGACUCACAUUAUGAUUGCCUUGUUGCACCUAUUUCCAUGUCAUCCAUGAUAUAUGAGCUUGUGCAUUUCCUUAGCAAAUUUGUUGUGAUCUUGCUUGAUGGCAUAUUCAUACAUCAUGAUCAUAUUUCCUACCAUCACUUGCAUGAUAACUCAUUCAUAUUGAGCAUCCAUUACCAUAUUCAUGUUGUUGAUAAACUGUCUCACUAUGACAUCAUUUUGCAUCAUGGUUGCAUUGAUCAUAUUCACAAUACAUUUGUGUGCACAAUGAAUGCUUUUCCUCCCAUGAAUGCUUUACAUGUCAUUUUACAUCAUCUUGAUAAGCUUCAUGUGCUUUGUCACGAACAAUCUUGCCGCACGGACUUAUGCUUAUUUGAUGGACACUUUGUGUGCGCUAACCAUUGUAUUUCCGAGUGUCGCUUGUGUUUGCUCUUUUUGCAUGUCUACCACUACGGAGACACUUUGGAGUACUUGGAUUGCACCAUAUCUUCAACUCUGUCCAACUUCAAGUCCGUCGACGACAACUGUUUCCAUGGUGAUGAGGAUCACGAUCUGAGGUCGGAUCUCUCCCAAGGGGGGGGGGGAGAUGAUGCGGAGCAUCCUACGUUCAUCUCCAUGUACACCUUCAUAGCACAUCAAGCCCCAAGUGGACCUACCGGACUUAAGGUGAACCCGCUCCUCUUCAAGAUUUACAUGAAUAUCUAUGGGACUUGGUCGCUACCUCACCACGGAACGUUGUGCAUCAUUAGGUACGAGGGCGACCGCCGCCAAGCAGCUAAGGACCUUCCCGGAGGCCAAGGAGAAGGACCCCGAGGCCACGAAGAAGAAGGAGUGCACGAAGAUCAUCUCUGUACCUCCCAGUCGACCCCAUGCCCACGGGCCUCGAAGACCCCGUGCGCACGGGCUACAUAG
rnacentral:rRNA from 1 species